CUACUUCAGACAUGCCACAAAAGCUGCACCAUGGGCUCACAGGUGGAAUCUUAAAGGCACAGUAUGAAAAUAAGCCUGUGCAUGCAAAACAGGUCUCAAAGUCAUGCAACAGCACCACUACAACUUGCAAAUAAUGUCAGACUUGAAAUGAAGCUACAUGUCUCACAAGGUACGAAACAGUAUGUAACACAUAUGUAGACAAUUACAGAUUUCCCCCCAGUUAACAUUAUGUUUAACGUAAUAAUUUUGUUUCUAAUUUAUAGAAUAGCAUUAGAAUACACAAAAAUUUCUUAGAGUCAUAAGAAUAUGACAGCUUUUCUUCUUCAAGCUUUGUUAAGUCUGAAAUAAUUGAGUGUUUAUGUUCUUUUACCUUAAAAUUUAAUCACAGAAAAGUGAUUUUAUGUCACAUUGUUUUUCU
rnacentral:lncRNA from 1 species